UACGAGGGGUGCAAGCGUUGUUCGGAAUUACUGGGCGUAAAGGGCGCGUAGGCGGCAAGGCAAGUCAGGGGUGAAAGCCCCGGGCUUAACUCGGGAAUUGCAUCUGAAACUGCUGUGCUUGAGUUCUGGAGGGGGUAGUGGAAUUCCCAGUGUAGCGGUGAAAUGCGUAGAUAUUGGGAGGAACACCUGCGGCGAAGGCGGCUACCUGGACAGAAACUGACGCUGAGGCGCGAAAGCUAGGGGAGCGAACAGG
rnacentral:rRNA from 1 species